GCGCCUGGUGCUGCAGCACAGCUCUGCUCUCGGAAGCCUCCUCACCAGACAGCAGCACCCUCUUGCAAAUACAAGGCAUCCUCACAAUGAGCCUCUUCCCAACCAUAGAUGAGGCAAAAAAAAAAGGAUGCAUUUUUAUUUUUUGCACGCUGUCACUUUCUGGAGGGCUGGGGCAUUUGUGCCUGUGUCAUGUGCAUUUGAAGCCAAUGCAUCCAAUCCAUCCAAGUGCAGCAGCCCAUCUACUGAAGGUGUGCUUUAGUGGAUCCGUGUGCCUCACACCCCAGAGUUUCCCCUUUACUGCAUUUCCAAGCACGCAGUAAAUACACGUAGGUUGAAAGGGAUUCUGAAAGUGAACCCCCCCCCCCCAGAAAACGGUGCCAGCCUGUCUCCUUGCUGAAAAAAAAAGACAAUAUUUUCUAUAUUUUAGAAAGGGCAGGAGCCUCUUCAGAGAGCGAAUCCUUGGAGAUCUGACAGUAAUGCAUUUUUUCCUAUUGAAAACAGAAGCUACUGUAAUGCUUUCAAAUAUAUGCAAAUGACACAUGCGGUUAGUGGUUUGGCAAAUCUUGAUUACAAUAUAAACUACCCAAGUAAAAGUGCCUUCGUCCUAAAUUUGUCUUUAGAUUACAAUUCCAGUUGAUUUUAUUUUAUUGUCAACAUUGUUAAUGAUAAAAAUAGAGUCGUUUUACAGUUAUUUUUACUUUCUGGAAGGAGGCAAUUAGACUUCUAAUCAGGAAUACACAAAAAUCUCCCAUGAUUAACUGCAGUACUUUGUUCAAAUUGCUGCUAUAAAAUUCAGAACAAUUUGCCUGUAAUGAUUAUGGACUGGGUUUAUUUUGGGAGGUGGAAUAAAAGUGGAUAUAGCAUAAAUUAUCCUCUAAUUAUACACCAGUGUCGCCUCAAUUAUCCUCUUAUCAAAAUGGUUGUCUAACUGCCGCAUUUAGUUUCAAUUCUCUCCUUUUUUCUAUAAAAAGAACUUCAUACCUUGUUAUUAUUAAUCCAUUUAUUAUUUGCAAGGGGAUUUAUAUCUGAGCAUCCAGGUGGUAUUACCACUUCUCGUUCAAAGAUGGACUGGAGGAAAGACAUUUCGGUUUGAACCAGCACCGUUGUGGAUCUAUCCUUUCCUUCCCCGUCCCCCUGUUUAAAGCUCCUUGCGUCCGACUAAGGUGGUGGGGGGAAGCCGCAGCUCCAGAGCCCGGCCAGGAGGAUGCAGCUGCCAUGGAAAAUGACCAGAAACCUACUUUCUCGGAAAGCACAUCCAUCAUCUUCAGGCAUUCUUCCAAUCCGUUAACUGUAGCUGUUACUAAUGAGUGUCUCAGUCCAGAAAAACCAAUUAUUACAAUGUUUCAUGGAAUGGCAUCCAGAUAUUGAGAAAAAUAAAUUGUAUUUGGGCAGCAUUUCUUCUGAUGAGGUUGUCUUUUCCUUCUGUUCUGUAAGCAGUAUUAUCAAACAUCUCUGUGUUAAUAAUAAAGGUACAGCUCUUGAGCUGUUGUAAAUUUAUAAUGCUCCAUGGAUGUCAUGGGAGCUAUGCCGGUUCACAUCAGCCAAGGAUUUGGCCCACAAUGUUUGCAAAUCACCUGUUAACCCAUGUGUUUCUCUCAUGUGUAAGCUUUGUGUAUUUUCUUUUAACCAGGGAGGAGUUAUAAGAUAUACAUUUUUAUUUCUUACAGUGUAUCAUGUAGAGCAGAAUCUGGCAUUUGGCUUUAAUUUCAGGGAUUUUCUAGAAAACAAUAAUUUAGCUAAUAUUUAAAAUACAUGAUCAUCAACACAAACAAAUGUACCUCCUUGCUUUAUUUUAUUUUUAAAGUUCCCAUUUUAUUUCUUGUCAUUUCAAGGCCCUAGAUAAAGCUAAUUGCUCAUUGUUAUAACAUAGUGGGGUACUGUCAAAGCCAUUAGGUUUGAGUGUGGUAGACUUUUUGACUCCUGCUGUGUCCACACAGAAUUUUGGAUUGAAGAAGUGGUCAUUUUGCUUCGGCUUGGUUACCAUCAUAGAAAGAGGUCUUCCCACUGGCUUCUGCUCCCAUUCCAGGCUUCCACUGCUUGCGACAAUUUCUCGUGGCAACUCUUGUAACUUGCAGUGGCCAGGGCUGCUGGGAAGCAACUCUGUUCUCCAUGCUCCUUCAGCAGCCUUUCUGCUCCAUAGAGUUUCAUGCUUAUUGUGAUCAAAGCUUCAUCUCACCUGUCUGCCCUCACUGUGGCACAAUACAGUAGAGAAUAGAAACCAUGUGAAGCAUAUCCAGUUUUCUAUCUAUAUGUUUCUUCCUCAACCUCAGUCAGAAACUAUCCUCAUUGUCACUGUGUACCAGAGGAUAGGAGGAACCUUGUGGAGCUCAGGGUUCCAUAUAACCAGUGUUUACAGGAUACAUGGAGCACAAGGAGUAGUUGAGUGGCACCACACCCUGAAGGUGAAUUGGGCAAAGGGUGAGGAAGGAGAGUGACAAAUUUAAAAACAACUUUUUGGUUGGGAAACCCACCUAUGCAACAAGGAUAGGGCAGAAAAGCAUAUGACUUCCCACAACAUUGGCCUUUACCCUGAUGGAAAUCUUGUUUCCCCUCACUGUUAACUAGGAGUCCAGGAAAUGUAUCAUACAGCAUUGGGGAUCUGGUUAGGGCUGCCUCUCUGCAGCUUCCUAGUGAAUGUACCAGUGUAGGUGUAUUAAGUAUGGAGGCACCCCAACCAGUGCCCAGGUCAGGGGUGGGCAAAAUGUGGCCCGCGGGCCAGAUGCGGCCUCCCAGGCAAUUCUAUCCGACCCGCAGGGCCCCUAAAACUUUUAGAAAAUUAAUAUUUAUCUGCCCCUGGCUGCCUGUCAUGUGGUCCUCGAUGGCUUCCCAAAACUCAGUAAGCGGCUCUCUGCUCAAAAUAAUUGCCCGCCCCUGGUCUAGGUUGUCCUUUCCUGGAACGCUUCUAAGCCUGGUGAUGGCAGGAAGGAGAAAAGUGGCUUGCUGGCCCCUACUGUUAUUGUCUAGAGGCUCUUAUUCUGGGGAACUUUGCAUAUUACCUAUAUCUGUUACAUCAAUGUACACAGCAUCUGUAUUUUGACUUGGUUUGGAAGUUUGUAUCUCAGGGAAGCCCAUAAUCUCCACAAAAAAAAACCCUGUGAAGUAUACUUAAGAAUUUCAGCUUAACUACAUCACUUCCAUUCACUCACUGUCUGUUAGUUGCCCUACAAAUGUGGGAGCCUUUCCAAGGAUGAAAAUACAGCUUUGUUGGGCAUUUCAGCAGGGCACAUGCUUCCUGCACAAACAUGGGGGCUGGCAAUAGAAUCAUUUUUUUGCUGGAAUAUAAGGGAAGAUUCCUUUUAGAGAAAA